rnacentral:rRNA from 1 species
ACGGGUGAGUAAUACAUCGGAACGUAUCCUGGAGUGGGGGAUAGCCCGGCGAAAGCCGGAUUAAUACCGCAUACGCUCUGAGGAGGAAAGCGGGGGACCUUCGGGCCUCGCGCUCAAGGGGCGGCCGAUGGCGGAUUAGGUAGUUGGUGGGGUAAAGGCCUACCAAGCCGACGAUCCGUAGCUGGUCUGAGAGGACGACCAGCCACACUGGGACUGAGACACGGCCCAGACUCCUACGGGAGGCAGCAGUGGGGAAUUUUGGACAAUGGGGGCAACCCAGAUCCAGCAAUGCCGCGUGUGUGAAGAAGGCCUUCGGGUUGUAAAGCACUUUUGUCCGGAAAGAAAUCAUCGGGGCCAAUACCCCUGGUGGAUGACGGUACCGGAAGAAUAAGCACCGGCUAACUACGUGCCAGCAGCCGCGGUAAUACGUAGGGUGCGAGCGUUAAUCGGAAUUACUGGGCGUAAAGCGUGCGCAGGCGGUGCUGUAAGACCGAUGUGAAAUCCCCGGGCUUAACCUGGGAACUGCAUUGGUGACUGCAGCGCUGGAGUAUGGCAGAGGGGGGUGGAAUUCCACGU